CUGUUAUUGUUGAAUUUGAUAGCUUUAUUCGUGAUGAUGAAAAAGCGCAGUAUCCAUCUCUUGGUGAUUCUAAUUUAGUUCUAAAUCGAGAUGCCUGUUACAAAAAAUGCGACCAAACCUAUGAUAAAUUCUCGUCAUCAACAUCAAAAUCUAGAUGGAAAAGAUGCAGACAAAUGUGCAGAGAGUUAGAGGAAAAACUUAUAAAAAGUAUAUGGGGGACGAAAAAACAUACUAAAAAAAGGUGCGCCUCACUUACUACAUUAUUAAAAGUAUUUAUUAUAUUUUAUUUUUUAUGUUUGUGAGUUUGUUUUUUAAUUUAUUAUCAAAUAUAGCACUUUAUAAAUAAUAAGUAUUUAAUAUAUUUUUUUAAGUUUUUGAUGUGAGGAAUAAUAGCCUGUAAUUUGGCAACUAUUUUGAUUUUUUUUAUAUAGUUGUCUAAGAUUUUAGUCUGGGUAUAAAAAAUUACUCCUUGGGAGACCUCUACUCUCUUUAUAGGAUUUCAAUUAAAUCAAAUGGAAUUAGUAGAAUUUUUAAUAAUAAAGCCUAAAUUAUAUUAUAUUAGUUCGUUUAGGAUUUUUUUAUGUGAUAAAUGAGAAAAAAAGAAUUAUGAAAAACACUUAAAAUAUUCAUGUCUCGGCUUAAGUUUUUAGAAAAAGUAAUAUCAUAACAUAGUAUCAAAAUUUUUAUGAUUGAGUUCAUGUAUCUCAUCUUAUUGUUAGUUUAAACUUUUAGGAGAAGUAGUAUCAUAACAGAACUAAACGAAUUAUUACUGACAUGAUACUAUAUUUUUUUUCAAAAGCCUAAAUUGAUAGGACUUAAGAUAAGGUAACAUGAAUGAUUAUAUCUUUAAUAUUUUUCUUCGAACAAGAGACCCUUUUGGAUUUAUUUAACUUUUAUAUAGGCCUUUUUUUUAAUUUGUCUUAAACAAUUUUUUUUCCUUUGGAAUUUACCAAGGAUUGAACGGUAAACUUUUCAAACAUAAAGUUCUGAUACUAUAUCUCAUUAAAUCACUCAUUUUAAAAACUUACACGGAUAGAAAAAGACAAUAUAAAUAGUUAUAUUUCUAUCAAUUAUAAUAUUACUUGUAAUGUUGGCCCUAAUAGUAUAAGAAAUGGAUAGUUAAAAAAGUUAUUUUAGCUUCCACAUUUUAUUGUAUUAGAGUAAGGAAGCCAUAACGGGGUGAGGAUAAGCUGCUAUUAGAGUUGGCAAACGGACAUGUCCAUCCAUCCUGUUCCACCAAAGUCUGCCACUCACUGUGUUUAUGGAGUAUCUCAUUUUGUUCACUUUGCGUGUUGGUUUAAUUCUUAUUAAUGGCUUAGUUUUUUAAGUCUUAUGAAAUGUAGUAUACUCAUCUUUGUAUAUAUGGAUUUUAAGAAUUUAAUGUAAUUUUGUUUCUCUCCCAUUUAGAGUCAAGAGUCUUAAUAAAUAUAAAGCAAAAAAUUGUAUCAUGUGCUUCAGCUAAUGCAUUUAACUUUCAAACAUUUUGAUAGUAGAAUUUAAUUUUGAUGUACUGUCAG
rnacentral:lncRNA from 1 species